rnacentral:rRNA from 1 species
UGGUGGAGUGAUUUGUCUGGUUAAUUCCGUUAACGAACGAGACCUCAGCCUGCUAACUAGCUACUCGAGCGCUCGCGCUCGAGGCCAGCUUCUUAGAGGGACUAUCGGCGCUUAGCCGGCUGGAAGUUUGAGGCAAUAACA